GACGAACGCUGGCGGCGUGCUUAACACAUGCAAGUCGAACGCUGAAGCUCAGCUUUUGUUGGGUGGAUGAGUGGCGAACGGGUGAGUAACACGUGAGUAACCUGCCCCCUUCUUUGGGAUAACGCCCGGAAACGGGUGCUAAUACUGGAUAUUCACUGGUCUUCGCAUGGGGGUUGGUGGAAAGGGUUUUUCUGGUGGGGGAUGGGCUCGCGGCCUAUCAGCUUGUUGGUGGGGUGAUGGCCUACCAAGGCUUUGACGGGUAGCCGGCCUGAGAGGGUGACCGGUAACAUGGGGACGGAGAUACGGCCCAGAUUCCACCGGGGGGCAGCGGGGGGGAAAUUGGCACAAUGGGCGAAAGUCUGAGGCAGCGACGCCGCGGGAGGGAUGGGGGCCUUGGGGUUUGGAACCUCUUUGGCCAAUGGUCAAGCCGCAACAAUGGUUGUGGUGAGGGUAGUGGGGAAAGAAGCCCCGGCUACCUACGU
rnacentral:rRNA from 1 species